rnacentral:rRNA from 1 species
GUGGGGAAUUUUGGACAAUGGGGGCAACCCUGAUCCAGCAAUGCUGCGUGCAGGAAGAAGGCCUUCGGGUUGUAAACUGCUUUUGUACGGAACGAAACGGUUCUCUCUAAUACAGGGGGCUAAUGACGGUACCGUAAGAAUAAGCACCGGCUAACUACGUGCCAGCAGCCGCGGUAAUACGUAGGGUGCAAGCGUUAAUCGGAAUUACUGGGCGUAAAGCGUGCGCAGGCGGUUUUGUAAGACAGAGGUGAAAUCCCCGGGCUCAACCUGGGAACUGCCUUUGUGACUGCAAGGCUGGAGUGCGGCAGAGGGGGAUGGAAUUCCGCGUGUAGCAGUGAAAUGCGUAGAUAUGCGGAGGAACACCGAUGGCGAAGGCAAUCCCCUGGGCCUGCACUGACGCUCAUGCACGAAAGCGUGGGGAGCAAACAGGAUUAGAAACCCCUGUAGUCC